UACGUAGGUGGCAAGCGUUGUCCGGAAUUAUUGGGCGUAAAGCGCGCGCAGGCGGUCCCUUAAGUCUGAUGUGAAAGCCCACGGCUCAACCGUGGAGGGUCAUUGGAAACUGGGGGACUUGAGUACAGUAGAGGAAAGCGGAAUUCCACGUGUAGCGGUGAAAUGCGUAGAGAUGUGGAGGAACACCAGUGGCGAAGGCGGCUUUCUGGUCUGUAACUGACGCUGAGGCGCGAAAGCGUGGGGAGCAAACAGG
rnacentral:rRNA from 1 species